UUACGGGGGGCUGCAGUGAGGAAUAUUGCACAAUGGGGGGAACCCUGAUGCAACAACGCCGCGUGGAGGAUGACGCAUUUCGGUGUGUAAACUCCUUUUAUAUGUCAAGAAAAUGACGGUAGCAUAUGAAUAAGCACCGGCUAACUCCGUGCCAGCAGCCGCGGUAAUACGGAGGGUGCAAGCGUUACUCGGAAUCACGGGGCGUAAAGGACGCGUAGGCGGGUUGGAAAGUCAGGUGUGAAAUCCUACAGCUUAACUGUAGAACUGCACUUGAAACUUCUAAUCUAGAGUAUGGGAGGGGGAGAUGGAAUUAGUGGUGUAGGGGUAAAAUCCGUAGAUAUCACUAGGAAUACCUAAAGCGAAGGCGAUCUCCUGGAACAUUACUGACGCUAAGGCGUGAAAGCGUGGGGAGCAAACAGGAUUAGAUACCCCAGUAGUC
rnacentral:rRNA from 1 species